GUAGGUGAACCUGCGGAAGGAUCAUUAACACUCCAAAACUUCUCAUAGCUCUGGGAAACCAGAGUUUAUGAAACCCUAUUCACAUUAGCGAACCCGGCUGGAUCGUUUUAGAGUCGCAAGGCUUGCUCGAUCUUAGCUAUUUUCUUUUGUCCAUUUCAUUUUUUUAACCCCAAUCAUUAUAACUUUUUUUUGACUGACUGGAAGACCUCAAAAAUCUUCCGUUGCUCUUCGCUCUAACCAGUGAAGGCAA
rnacentral:misc_RNA from 1 species